AUGCAGAUGAAGAAACAGAGCGUUUCAGUUCCUAACAUCCCUCAGCCAGGAAGCGUCUUGAAAUACAUCAAGGUCCUGGAUGUAUGUUCUCACUGUUUUGAUUUCACCAUUUUAAUGCUAUGGAUUAGACCAGCCAUUCUCAACAGGGGGGUCAUGGCACCUUUGAAGGAAGUCAGAAACUGGAAACAAUUCUUCACACUUCACCUGAUAAGGUUAAUUGUGCUAAUUAUCCAAUCCUGAUUCUGCCUAUGUGUUUUUCAUAUUGUGUUUAUGGCCAUGGCAAAAAAGAAAAAGAAAAGAAAAGAAAAAAGAGAAAGGCUGAGAAUGGCUGGACUAGACGCUAAGGAAGAAUCAGUCAUCAUUUAAAAUGGAAAUGGUGUUUCGCCCCUGUGGAUCUAGCUGCUUCUGAGGAAACUCUCCUUUUGUCCCAUCUCUGGUUUAGCAAGCAGUAUUCUUUUUACCCUUAGUAAUAACUUUACUUUACUUUACUUUUACUGGAUUUUUGCCCCGCCCCCCUAGACAAAGUCUACUCAGGGCAGCUUAUAUACAUAAUAAAAACAUAACAGAAACAACA
rnacentral:lncRNA from 1 species